rnacentral:rRNA from 1 species
UACGGGGGGGGGCAAGCGUUGUUCGGAAUUACUGGGCGUAAAGGGCGCGUAGGCGGCCUACUAAGUCGGACGUGAAAUCCCUCGGCUCAACCGGGGAACUGCGUCCGAUACUGGUGGGCUCGAAUCCGGGAGAGGGAUGUGGAAUUCCAGGUGUAGCGGUGAAAUGCGUAGAUAUCUGGAGGAACACCGGUGGCGAAGGCGGCAUCCUGGACCGGUAUUGACGCUGAUGCGCGAAAGCCAGGGGAGCAAACGGGG